rnacentral:rRNA from 1 species
AUUGAACGCUGGCGGCAGGCCUAACACAUGCAAGUCGAGCGGAUGAAGGGAGCUUGCUCCUGGAUUCAGCGGCGGACGGGUGAGUAAUGCCUAGGAAUCUGCCUGGUAGUGGGGGAUAACGUCAGGUAACGGGCGCUAAUACCGCAUACGUCCUGAGGGAGAAAGUGGGGGAUCUUCGGACCUCACGCUAUCAGAUGAGCCUAGGUCGGAUUAGCUAGUUGGUGGGGUAAAGGCGUACCAAGGCGACGAUCCGUAACUGGUCUGAGAGGCUGAUCAGUCACACUGGAACUGAGACACGGUCCAGACUCCUACGGGAGGCAGCAGUGGGGAAUAUUGGACAAUGGGCGAAAGCCUGAUCCAGCCAUGCCGCGUGUGUGAAGAAGGUCUUCGGAUUGUAAAGCACUUUAAGUUGGGAGGAAGGGCAGUAAGUUAAUACCUUGCUGUUUUGACGUUACCAACAGAAUAAGCACCGGCUAACUUCGUG